rnacentral:lncRNA from 1 species
AUGUCUUUCAAAUACAAUGAUAGACCAACUGAUAAAAGCCUGGCAAAUCAAGAAAGUGACAAUGCUAGGUUUCUCCCCUGCUUUUGGGUUAGUUAAAGGGUUGAUGCUCUAAAAAUAGCAUUUCCUAAACUACCUGGAGAUCCUCAUUGUUAUGAAUGAGAACAGCAGUGAUUGCUUAAAAUAUAACAUCAUGAUUCCAGCUAUUUAACGGGACUAUAAACUUUUGCAUUGUUUCUGGAUUUCUAAAUAUACAAACUUAGUUGGGUAUUACAUAAAACAAUCACUAAAGUAAAAUCCCCAAGUUUAGAAUAGCAAUUUAUAUUUUUUGCUUUUAUCAUAAAGCAACAUGUGUAAUAAAAAAUGAGGGAAAUGAUUCUGAAAUAAUUAUUUUCAUCUGUAAAUCUAGUACAAAGAGAAAAUUUCUAUGUAACAUUUAGAACCUUAGCAAUAAUAAACCAAAAACUAAGUUCCCAACUCAGCUCUACUAAAAGCAGUUCCUAAAUGAAGUGCGAACACUUAAUCCUCCUGAAAAGGUUUCUCUAGGCAAUCCAUGAUAAAUGAUCUGCUGUUCUUGUUACAGAAUGAAUUACAAAAUGUUUUAUUACUUAUUGUGGUAGUAUGGGAAGCAAUGCCAUAUUAUUGUUGCUGUUAUUUUCCACCAUAGGCAGUCACAACUUACAAACAUCUAAUCUAUACACAUAUGGCUCCCUUAGCACCAAAGCCCUUGCAACC